rfam:Taeniopygia guttata chromosome 8, whole genome shotgun sequence.
GGCCCAGUGGGCUAGAGCAUGGUGCUAAUAACACCAAACAUGUGGGUUCAAUCCCCAUAUGGGCCA